GAGUGGAGUUGUAGCACCGGCA
rnacentral:miRNA from 1 species